GGAUGACAUCAGCGGUGACUUGGCCCAGCCCUGUGCCAGCUGCUGAAUUUGAACUAGGUCGUUCUGGGAGAUUGGAAAAGGAAACAGAAGAGCUGAAGUGGGAAGGUGGAGAAGUUUAUGACAUGAUGACCCAGACUGUACUCAGGACUUGAGCUGCCGCA